GCACAACGCGAAGAACCUUACCAGGUCUUGACAUCCCAUUGACCACUAUGGAGACAUAGUUUUCCCGUUCGGGGACAACGGUGACAGGUGGUGCAUGGUUGUCGUCAGCUCGUGUCGUGAGAUGUUGGGUUAAGUCCCGCAACGAGCGCAACCCUUGUUCUUAGUUGCCAUCAUUUAGUUGGGCACUCUAAGGAGACUGCCGGUGACAAACCGGAGGAAGGUGGGGAUGACGUACAAAUCAUCAUCGCCCCUUAUGACCGUGGGCUACACACGUGCUACAAUGGACGGUAACAACGGUUGCCAACCCGCGAGGGGGAGCUAAUCCGAUAAAACCGUUCUCAGUUCGGAUUGUAGGCUGCAACUCGCCUACAUGAAGCCGGAAUCGCUAGUAAUCGCGGAUCAGCAUGCCGCGGUGAAUACGUUCCCGGGUCUUGUACACACCG
rnacentral:rRNA from 1 species